CCUACGGGAGGCAGCAGUAGGGAAUCUUCCACAAUGGGCGAAAGCCUGAUGGAGCAACGCCGCGUGGGAGAAGAAGGUCUUCGGAUCGUAAAACCCUGUUGUUAGAGAAGAAAGUGCGUGAGAGUAACUGUUCACGUUUCGACGGUAUCUAACCAGAAAGCCACGGCUAACUACGUGCCAGCAGCCGCGGUAAUACGUAGGUGGCAAGCGUUAUCCGGAUUGAUUGGGCGUAAAGGGAACGCAGGCGGUCUUUUAAGUCUGAUGUGAAAGCCUUCGGCUUAACCGGAGUAGUGCAUUGGAAACUGGGAGACUUGAGUGCAGAAGAGGAGAGUGGAACUCCAUGUGUAGCGGUGAAAUGCGUAGAUAUAUGGAAGAACACCAGUGGCGAAAGCGGCUCUCUGGUCUGUAACUGACGCUGAGGUUCGAAAGCGUGGGUAGCAAACAGGAUUAGAUACCCUAGUAGUC
rnacentral:rRNA from 1 species